AGUGGCGAACGGGUGAGGAAUACAUCGGAACGUGUCUAUAAGUGGGGGAUAACGCAUCGAAAGGUGUGCUAAUACCGCAUAAUCUCUCAGGAGAAAAGCAGGGGAUCGCAAGACCUUGCGCUUUAGGAGCGGCCGAUGCCUGAUUAGCUUGUUGGUAAGGUAAAAGCUUACCAAGGCUUCGAUCAGUAGCUGGUCUGAGAGGACGACCAGCCACACUGGGACUGAGACACGGCCCAGACUCCUACGGGAGGCAGCAGUGGGGAAUUUUGGACAAUGGGGGAAACCCUGAUCCAGCCAUGCCGCGUGAGUGAAGAAGGCCUUCGGGUUGUAAAGCUCUUUCAGCCGGAACGAAACGGUUACGAUUAAUACUCGUAAUUAAUGACGGUACCGGCAGAAGAAGCACCGGCUAACUACGUGCCAGCAGCCGCGGUAAUACGUAGGGUGCGAGCGUUAAUCGGAAUUACUGGGCGUAAAGGGUCCGCAGGUUGUUUUGUAAGUCAGAUGUGAAAGCCCCGGGCUUAACCUGGGAACUGCGUCUGACACUACAAGGCUAGAGUAUGGCAGAGGGGGGUGGAAUUCCGCGUGUAGCAGUGAAAUGCGUAGAUAUGUGGGAGGAUACCGAUGGCGAACGCAGCCCCCUGGGUCAUACUGACGCUGAGGACGAAGCAUGGUGAGCCAACAGAAUAGAUACCCUGGUAGUCCAUGCCCU
rnacentral:rRNA from 1 species